AUUGAACGCUGGCGGAAUGCUUAACACAUGCAAGUCGAGCGGGCUGUAGCAAUACAGCUAGCGGCGGACGGGUGAGGAAUACAUAGGAAUCUGCCUCAGAGUGGGGGAUAGCCCGGGGAAACCCGGAUUAAUACCGCAUGAUGUCGUAAGACCAAAGCAGGGGACCGUAAGGCCUUGCGCUUUGAGAUGAGCCUAUGUCGGAUUAGCUAGUUGGCGGGGUAAAAGCCCACCAAGGCGACGAUCCGUAGCUGGUCUGAGAGGACGAUCAGC
rnacentral:rRNA from 1 species